rnacentral:lncRNA from 1 species
UUUUUUAAUUUCUUAAGCCUCUCUAUUGUAGUAUGAAAAAUCACAACUACAAGACAAGAUAGUGUUUGUCUCUUCAGAUAAGCACUCAAGGCCAUCCUUGCUUUUAGAGUUCAAGAGGAAUUCUCCAGAGCUUUAAAUUUAAAGGUUUUUUUUUUUUUUUUUUUUUUGUGUGUGUGUGUGGAUAAAAGGAGUAUUAUAUUAAAAAGAAUAACACAUCAGUAAAGGGCUACAAACAACAAAGACCAACCAGAGAGGCCAGUCACAAAACAGUAAACCAAACAACAGGAAAAAAAAAACUGAAAGAAGAAAGCUUAGAAAGCGUCAAGUUCGGUGGGAAGGUAAACCAUCCUGUGAAAGUAUGAAGACCAGGGCGAUUGGAGGUCGAAUGACCCAAGCCUCAGCGCACAACCCCCUUCUUGCUUGAGAAGCCACCCAGUCAGUUGCAUGGUGGCAUGUCGAGGAGUCCAUGUCCACCAGAGAGAGGAGAAUGGAGCUUUUAGCAUUCUAAUGUCAUAGAGGGUAAAGAGUCCAAUUUGAGACAGAAAUAUCUCCCUGCACAGCAGCAAAACAAACCUUGGAAUCAGUUUCCACAAUAACAUUAGUGAAACCUCUUACAUGGACCAGCUCUAAUCCACUUCGGAUCGCAUGACACUGAGCCUGCACAACUGGUGAUGACUGAAAACAAUGCGCACUGCCAUCAAGCAGACUACCAGUAUGAUCCUUUAUCACUACCCCUGCAGAGCCUGCAUUCGUAACUUUGUCCCACGCAUUGACACAGUUAAUUUUGACAGUCCCCACCAGAGGAUUGACCCACAGAUGACUGUCCAAAGGUGGAGAGUUGAAAUGGUUUCUAUCAUCUUUCAAUCUCAUAUGUGAUAGGAAUUCCACAACACUUCUGUCGGCCAAUGAGGCCGUGAGCUCUGGCGAUGGUGAGCAGAAAUUUGAUCUGUCAUACACCAAAUUAUAACGCGUUUUCCAAAUAGCUGAGCUAGUAAAGGCAAAAUGAGUUAUAAUCCAUCAUUUCUCUCCUCCGAAUUAAAGGUCUCACACAACCAAAGAUCAUUAAUCCACCUAUCUAACGAAGUGAAAGCUUGAGAGGCAGAGGUUUGUAAGCAAUACAAGUGGCAAACCACACUCUGGCAGCCCAAGGAAGAAGGAAGCUUGUAUGCUCAGGGGAUUCAGAUUGUCCAUGGAAAAAAGGCAAAUAAGAGACUGGCAGAGCUUGCGCCUGAAAAGGACCUCAAAAGUGGGAAGGAAACCAUUGACUGCGCACCGUAGAAAAAAAUUUGAUUUUGGGGAGCGUUUGGCAAUUAUGAAUGCGAAGCCAGACUUUAGAAUCAAUCACAUGGGAAGAGCUUGCCUUCAUCACAACCUAAUACUUUUUAUACUCCAUGAGGUAGUAAUAUCCUGAUUUGAUUAUCUCCCAUUCAUAGUGUAUGGCCAAAUAAGUCUGUCAGGGAUAUCAAAAUUGCUGAUAGGAAUUGCCAUGAUUGCUUGGACAUCCAGCUGCGAAAUAAACGCAUUGAUUUUAGAGAGGUCCCAAGUGUGACUAUGUCUAUCCAUCAGAUCAGCAACAACAAUUGGAGCAUGUUGAGGCACAGGACAAGUGGGCCUAAGGUACCUAGGGUCAUUUUGAGGUAGCCAAAGUAUCAGACCACAUAUUAAUUCAAUUGCCAUGCAUAACUUGCCAUCUUGCUCCUCUAAAAAGAAGCUCGCGCCCCUCCGAAAGGCUAUUCCAAAUGUGUUCAGAUCCUUUGUCCAUGUUUUUUUCUGUCCCUCCCCCUCUGUAACACUCCGACCCUUUUGUAAUUAUUUUAUUUACUUAUUUAAUUGUGAAAUUACAUUUUUGUCCUUGGAGUAGGGGCACUUUAGUCACUUUUUUCGGAAAGAAAUUUAGGGAAUUGAGAGGCAACAUUGCGUAGAGCUCGUCGAUACGAGUCUGUAGACAGGUGGCAUGCUUAAUUUCGAGUUGUAACGAGAGCGUAAAGGUCUAGAAACGAAAAAGACAUAUAGGGAAUUUCUGGAAGGCUUAUUUACUGUAGUGCCCCCUAAAACUUCGGUCAAAUCUCACUUUAUCCCUGUAGGGGCUUUUUCAUUCCAACAGCUACUGAUGGGCCUGGGCUGCUAUAAAGAGCGAAAUGGGUGAAAUUGCCCCUUGAGUCUGAGUUCAAGGAUCAGACCCCAAGAGUAUUUCGAAAUGGUAGCUGAGCCUUAGGAAACACAUUGGUCUUCUUCACCAAUGAAACCAACAAUCGCUUACAGAUAAAUUCUUCGCUUGGCAUGAGAAGCUUGUGGCAUGGGAGCUGAGCAUUCAUGAGUUUAGCAUGAGAGAGAGAAAGAGCUGCGAUUUCCAAAAGAGAAGAUGGGAGGAGAUGGCGGAAUAUGGCUCGAAAUUGCAAGGGUUUCAGGGAUGAGAGAUGAAGAUUGCUCUAUGGAUGUGUGUUUAUGGAAAGAGAGGAAGAAGAUGGAAGCAUGGGUGGCUUUAGCAUAUUUCCAGCAGCUUGACAAAAGCUUCGUCAAGCUCCUGGGUUGCACGACAGAAGAGAAAAUUGAAAGAGAUGGAGGAGUAAGGCUCGAAAUUGCAGGGGUUUCAGGGAUGAGACAUGAUGCUUGCUCUCUAGAUGUGGGUUUUGAGAGAGAGAAAGGAGGAAGAUAGAAGAACAAAGCAUGAAAUUGAAGGGUUCCAGAGGGAAUGCUUGCCUUCGAUGAAUUCUCAUGGUUGCUGGGAGGCUUGCAGCAACCAAGGUGAGUUGUUUUGCCUGGGUAGGAAGUGACUCCUUUUAUAGGCACUGAAGAACUUAAUUUUAUCAAACCACCCUCUCCCCUUUUCCUUCACUUUCUUCCAUUCCAUCUUAUUUGAUGAAACUUCCCUAGCCUGAGCAUGUAGGCAUGAAGCUUUUUGGAGUUCCAAGGUCCUCAGGCAGCUGGACUUCUCCAUGUGGGUGAGGAGCCACCUACUUUUGCUUCUUGUUUUCUCACCAAAGCUUGAAAAGGAAAGAAUGGGUAUUUGCGCUAGUCAAAAGGUGAUCAGCACAUGGGUUUGCUUGGUUUUGAUGGUUUUGACAGAUAUGCUAGAUAUUUUCUACGAUGCUGGGCUGGGCUAUUGGUAUCUUGUUUCCAGCGGCCUGUGAGUUUGCUCAAGUUGCUGGAAACAGCCUAUUUGAUCAAGGUGCUGGAUAUUUUGGCUGAUGUGAGAUUUUUCCAAGUGUUUGCAAGCCAUUGGAUAUUUUCCUAAGCUAUUGGGCCACUCAUUCUCUCUCAGACUUACCCAUAUGUUUGGGCUCAAGAAAUAGGCUCGAGUUUUGGUGCUCCUAAGCAGCCCAAAACUUCCACUUCUUGGCUCAUCAAUGGGCCUCGUGAAUGCUCGUAACCAACCAUACCACAACCCGCUCAGCAAGCCCCAGGCAUUCGCGUGGCUUGGGCCCACUUAAGCUUGUAGGGUGGCAUAUUGCUUAAAUAAGGAUUUUCCGCUUGGUGUUGUACUGGGCCGAAAAUAUAUUUGGGCCCAGCCUUGAAUUUUUUUUUGUGCCUCAACAACCCCCUCAAAGUUAAAGUGGCCCACUUAACCUCCUUGACCAUGAUUUUGUGUUCCUCUUUACCCCUCACUGUUGUCUUAGGCAAGUACAUGGCAAAACACCCGAGAAUGAUCUAGUACCUCGACAAAGUUCAAGAAUUUUUGAAGGCACUGCCUACCUUCACCAUCCAACAAGUUCCCCAGGUAGAGAACACUCAUGUAGAUGCGUCGGCAAGCCUAGAAUUGGCACUGGACACCCAUUUUAGGUGCUCCAUCCUAAUCAAACACAAUGAUCAGCCAAGCAUCGAUGAGGCAGAGCAAACAGAUUCAAUGCAGAUUAAUGAAGACCCCUACUGGAAAGACCCCAUUAUUGACUACUUGGUGAGUGAAAAUUUGCCAAAAAACAAGUCCGAAGCUAGGAAGGUCUAGCAAAAAGCUACGAGAUACUACAUGCAGGGAAACAAGCUCCUUCGAUGAUGAAGCCUCGAUCCUCAUCUGAUAUGCAAAAAGUACCUUCACACCCUUGUCUGGUUUUUGCAUUUGCUUUAGCUUUCAACGCAUUAAUGUCUUCAUAAGGAGUUCUCUUGUGGGGACCCCGGCUUUCUAUUCGCUGUUGCACGAGUCACUAUCGGAUCCCUUGUUGAAGUUGAACUACAAUUCUCUAAGAACAAACUUUUUACAUCGUUGUGACCCAUUUUAUCCUAGUGGCCACAAAUCAUUACGAAAUAGCAUUUACAAAUCAAUAUAACUGAAACAAAUAUAUAUUAGAUGAUACAAAGAAUCUGCAUAAAAUAAGGACACCUAACUUUGUUAUUACAUUGGGAGAAAACCAAAUAAAAAUACAACGUAAUCCAUAGUACAAUGAUUUCUGCAAAUCAAAUACUCGAUAAUUGUCAUCAUCCAAACAUGUAAACCAACAAGUGAAAAUAUGAAAAUGCAUACAAACAAGCUACAACCAAUACUUAUCAUACCUCAUUCUGAGGUUGUUUUGCAUGUUUCCACUCACGGAUGACUUCAACAGAGGGAACCGAAGUUUUAUCAACAGUUGCAAAUCCUGUCAUAUUGUCAUCUUGCUCGUUGGGAGUUCCGUCUUCUUUGUUUGGCCUACUUUUUGGAGGUUUAGUAUUUCCAAGGUCUUUUUGUCCCCCAUCACUCUCCAUAUCAAACAUGUUAUCAUCUUCCUUAUUCAGUUUAACUUCCAGUUCAUGAGGGCAUGAAGUGCGCAAUGUUCUUUCUUUCUCUUCAUUUUUUGAUGAUAACUCAGACAUAAUCUUGGAGAGCGAUUCGUCCAUACAAGCAACAGUGGCCACCAAAGUUGCCACAUCCUUUCUUAUUGAACUUAACUCUUCAGUAAAGUGAGUCAUUGUUUUGGCAUCAUCUCCGAGGCCUCCAUAUUCAGUUUUCAUAACAACUACCUUAUCAUUUUCAAACCCCCCCCUUCUUUUUUCUAGCCACUUCUUCAUUUUUUCGGUCUCUACUUUCCCCCACACAGUGAGUGGUAGCACAGACCUAUCCACAAGUACGCUACCAUGAGCUAUAACAUCAAGGUAAAGCAACUGAAGGAAUAACAAGCAACCACCGAUGCAAACUUGAUUGUUCUCCUUAAAUGACCUGACACUAUCUAAUAAAAAUUUGAAUGAAUAACUUGCCCAAUUUUUCCUUACUAUCUCUUAACGGAAGCAGAUAUUUUAGAUUGACAUACACGGAAGUGGUUGGACAUAGCAAUGUGCAUAGAGCAAACAUGACAAAACCAACUUUGAAAAAGUCAUUUGCUUCUUCUGUCCCCACCAUUAUCUGCUUCAACUCAUUAUUUUUUAAAAGCUUCUUCCCACCCAAAAAAGAAUUUCGCACCUUUACAAUGUGUUGGUCAUCCAUGGAUCCGGUGAAGUCAACUUCCUCUCCUCCAUCCUUAACACCCAUUAUGCGCACGAAGUCAUCCACAGAUAUCUUAAAUGUUUUCCCAUGUAGCACGAUUGAUGAUUCAGCAGGAUUCAAUUUAUCAACCAAAAAACGACACAUUGAAUGAGACAGUUUUUCGCACUUCAUUUCCAACAACGAAACAAAUCUCAUUUCUUCAAUGACUGCUUUUUUCUCAUCACUUAAAACAUUUAUAGUGUCCUUUAUAUCAUUCGGACUGCAUUGUAUGGGUAUCUUCAAACAACUCUUGUUCGAGGCGUUCGUUGAAGGUGUUUUAGAUUCAUACUCUGCUUUCUAAGUAGCAUCCAACUUUUGCCACAUAUUAGCGAUUUCCUUCUUCAUCCGAGGAAGAAAAUAAUAAAAUUCAAUCAAUUCAUUAUAAGUUGUGAGCAGUAACGUCUCUAUUUAAAUGUAUUGUUUACAAUUUAUUACCUUCGUAUCCACUUUCUCCACUAUUUUUUGUUUCUUCAUUUCAUCGCCCUUUAUUUUCCUAUUUAAAACAUUCACAUUUAGUUAGUCCUAGAAAAAGUACUUAAUAUACUGGAACAGCCGUUUAACACUUACAGAAAGUUAAAAUAACCGGUCUUGCGAUGAAUCACCAUCUUGGACUCGUCUUUUGUUGUUUUUGGAUUUUUGCCCUUACUUUGCACAUCAUUGUUCUUUUUCACCAUUUUAUAAUUUCAAUUAAUGAUGACCCUGCAUUAAACAAGAAAAACAUUUUAUAUAUCAUAAACUCAAUAGAAAAUUAUAAUAUGUCAACUCAUAUGCAAAUUGUCAAACUAUAUCAAAUAAUAACAUGUCAACUCAUAUCAAUGGAAAAAUAAUAUUUCAACUCAUAUGCAAUGGCCAAAGGAUAUAUGAAAUUGCAGGAUCCUUACGCAUUGUAUAUGAAAUUGUAAAAUUCCCAUUCAACGUAAUUCUCAAGCAUCCAAAACAAUCUCAAUGCUUGUUCUCAUGCUAUCCACUUUCAUGGAAAUUUUACAAUUUUUAAUAAUAUGUGAACGAAAUUAACUUCAACCCAGCAUUUUUUAAAUCUUUCAAUCCAUUCCAUAGUUCGAACAUCCAAGAACACAACACAUUAAACAAAACAAAAAGUAGUCUUAUCAAAUAAACAAUCGAAAAAUAACAUGUAUAUAUCAAUUGCCAACCAGGUGCUAUGAAAUUGUUUUACCCCUAGGCAAUUGCAUUUUCGUGCUAUACUAUAUCACCUUCUACAUAUCCAAUAUAAUUAUGAGGCAUCACGAAACACUUUUAAUGGUUGUUCUCAGCCUAUUGACUGUAAAGACUAUUUUACAAUUUGUAAUAAGGUUACUCACCAGCAAAAAUGAAAUUCAUAUUACGUUUUCAAAAAUAAACUUAAAGAGGUGAGGUUAAGGUUUAGCAAAACACAAGUCAUAUUACGCAGUACUAAUUUUACAAAAGGUUAGGGUUUAUCAAGAGAUGAAAUGAGAUUCUUCAAUACCAUCCUUACAAAACUUCAAACUAAGUGCUUUAAGCCUUAAGUAAAUACCUACCAAUCAAUGGAGGAAUCUUCACCACAUAACAUAUGUCAACUCAUAUGCAAUUGCCAAAUCAUAGAAACAAAUUACAUGAACCCUAUAUAAUUCCAUAUUAGUCAGUCAUACCGAAUAAACUAAAAUAAUAACAUGUCUACUCAUAUUCCAAUUAUCAAACGGACUUUUAUUGAACCAUAUAUGAAAUUGCAUUCUCGCAAAUCAUAACAAACAAACUCAAUUGGAAAGUAAUAUGCCAACACAUAUGCCAAUUGACAAACAGAAAGCUAGGAAUUGCAUGACCCCUAUGCAAUUGUAUUUUCGUGCUCCAAUAACUCAUAUUCUAUACAUCCAACGAAAUUCUUAUACAUAAUUUUACAAUGCUUGUUCUCUGUAUAAAAUAUAAAAUUACAAUGCUACUAAAUUUCAUUCAAAUUUUACAAUUUAGAAUAAGGUUACCCACCCAAACAAUAUUCAAUUCAUAUUUGGUACAAAACUUAGCUGAGAUUAAGGUUUACCCAUAAACAGAAAUUAACUUAAAAAUUCUUGAGAUUAGUUAGGGCUUAGCAAGAGAGACAUGGGAUUAAGGUUUACCCAUAAACAUAAUUAACUUAAAAAAGAGGUGAGAUGAGUUAGGGCUUAGCAAGAGAUAAUUGAGAUUGCUCAAUACUAACCUUAGAAAGCUUCAAAUCAGAUACCCAAUGUUUUAACCCUUAGGAAACAAUUGACAACCACCGCAGGAGAUACCAAUGGAGGAAUCGCAAUAUUCAACAGUAGAAUUUUUUGGGUUUUGAAGAGCAGCGCGCUAAAAUAUUCAGCAGUAGAAUUUUUUGGGUUUUGGAGAGCAGCGAGCUAAAAUAUCACAUAACAAAUCGAUUACCUCCACCUGUUAUAGCAGGUUUUCUUUUAAUUUUUUUACAACUCAAUUGGCAUGUGCACUGCACAUACUUCAUAAACAACAAAUGGAACAUGGAUACACCAGGUGCACCGUAGAAGGUGCCUUCUUUUCUUUAAACUCAGAAAGAUAUUGGUGAACCAAAAAUUAAUUCAAAACAGUCACAGAUUAAGAAAAAAACAGAACACACUAAUCAUUUGAGCAAAUAAAAUAGGGAAAUAGCCCUAAAUGCCACCAUUUUUAUAAUUGUAAUUAAAAAUACCACCCCUUCCCAAUUUUUGUACAACUAUCACCUAUAAAUAUAAAAUUAUUGUCCACUUAUUGCAGUUUUUUCACAAGUCCAGAAAUUUUGUUCUCUCUUAGCUCACACAGCUCUCUCUCUCUGUGGCACAGCUCUCUUUCUCUUUGGUAUCUGUCUAUCACAGCUCUCUGCGUCUCUCUUGGCUCUCUAUCUCUUGGCUCUCUCUCUCUCUAGCACAACUCUCUGUCUCUCUCUUUGCUCUCUUUCUCAUAGCGCAGCUCUUUCUCUCUCUAGCUUCGUUAUGUCUGUUUCUCCCCUAUUCGAUCUCUUGCUCUCUGUUUGGAAUCGCGAACCCCUCCCUUUAGCUAUGUCUUCUGAAUAGCUGCUUGCAACCUUGAAGCUCUAGUGGAUUGCCGACCUCGAAAAGGUAGUGUUGAUGGUUAUUUUGUUAAUAUCAGUGGGAUUAUGUGAAAUGGGUUAUAGUUUGAUUGUUUGGGUUUGUGUUAAAUUCGUUUUGGCUUUAAUUUCUUUGGGUUUUUGUUAAUAUCAGUGGGAUUAUGUGAAAUGGGUUAUAGUUUGAUUGUUUGGGUUUGUGUUAAAUUCGUUUUGGCUUUAAUUUCUUUGGGUUAGGUUUUGUUGAAUAUUCAUGCUCAUUCAUCUGGGUUUGUACCAAUUGCAUUUAGAUUGGUCUGGAUAUGUGAAUCUUGAAACUUGGGAUUUUCCAUUUGAUGUAGUAGAUCUGUAUAGUGUGAUUCUGAUGUGUUACUGGUGUAGUGCUGUUGUGUUCCUCUUAUUUUACUGUCGUAUUGCUGUUAUAUUGACAUUAUAUUGCUUCUAUAUUGCUGUUAUAUUGUGGUUAUAUUGCUACUGUAUUGUAUGGUUAUUGUGGUUAUAUUGGGUUAAUGAAAUGUUAUUUUGUCAUGGUCAGAAAUGGAGACAAUUGUUAUUCUCAUGUGCUACAAUGGAAAAUGGGUCACCUCGAAGAAGAUGUGUAAAUAUGAAGGGGGUGACUCAAAAGGCUUAAUAGUUCCACGAACUAUCAAAUUUGCUGAACUAUUGGACCGUGUGCAUCAGAUUGGUAAUACAAACAGCAGGGAAGACAAGGUUUGCUUAAAAUUCUCAGUUUUGGUGGCCUCGAAUGAGUGGAAGCACAUAAAGAUUGAGGACGAUGAUGAUGUCAAUUUUUUUAUGAAGUACAAUUCCGAGGUAACACCUUCAAAACUAGCUCCCUUACUCGUGAGUAUAGAAGAUAAAGGACUGACAAAUGAUGUAGUUCAUAGUACGCAUAUCACGACAGAUAGUAGUCGGAUGGGUCAUUCUUCAGUUGCCAUUGUUGAAAGCAAUGAAGUAACUUGGAAUAAUAAAAAUGUCACUGACGUGGGAGGUGAAGUAGGGACAGAUUUUAUGGAUAUGAUUGAUUUUAGCGAGGUGGAGGAGAUGCAUGGUGGUGAUAAUGGUACUGAAAGAAAUGAAGUGUCAGUGUACUCUGCCCCUUCUAAUUUGGGCUGCUUGAACACAGCUACCCAAUUGCCAAUAAUGCGUUUAGGAGGAGAAUCUGAACCCACUCGUCAACAUUAUUGGAGUCAAAUGGGUGAACAAAACCGGUACAAUGAAGCCGGUGUAAAUGAUGAAGAAGCAUAUUUGGACAGCGGGUUUUCACGAAGUGAUUGGAAUCCGAAAAUUACAGUUGGGCAAAUUUUCUCUAGUAAGAAAGCAUUGUUGACGGAGUUACGGUUCACGGCAUUAAGAGGCCACUUUGAAUUUAAGGUGCAAUUCUCUUGCACUAAGAGGUUGCUUGUGGUUUGUUGUCAACGUCCAUGCCCAUGGCGGGUCCGAGCAUCGAGAAUUGGAGAAUACAGCUUCAUGAUUGUGAGGUGUACAACUGUCCAUGAAUGUGAUUUGAGGUUCGUAAGUGACAAGCAUCGUCAAGCAACCGUAGCACUUGUAGCCACUUCACUUAGAAGGAAGUUGAAGGAUUCUCGGACAAUAUACACACCAAGUGACAUUAUGAGAGAUGUGAAACACAGCUUUGGUUGCACAAUCCAUUAUUCGAAAGCUUGGAAAGCAAGGGAGUUAGCUCUAUUGUCCAUUAGAGGAUCAGCGGAGGAGGCAUAUUAUAUCCUUCCAGCUUAUUGCUAUGAAUUGGAGCGUAUGAAUCCCGGCACAAAAACACACAUCCAAACUGAUGAGAACAAUCACUUUGUGUAUUUAUUUAUGGCGGUUGGCGCAUGUAUUAGAGGGUUCCGUUCUUCCAUGCGCCCAGUGAUAGCCGUGGAUGCCACUCAUUUAAAAUCCAAGUACAAGGGUGUUAUGUUUGUAGCAAAUGCAUUCGAUGGUAAUCGAAAUAUAUAUCCUCUUGCUUUUGGGAUCGGGGAUUUGGAGACGGAUGCAUCAUGGCAUUGGUUUUUCACUAAACUUCAUGAAGCCAUUGGUGAGUGUCCCAAUCUUGUUAUUAUUUCUGAUCGCAAUGUUAGCAUAGAGAAUGUGUGGAACAAAAUUUUUCCAACUGCACAACAUGGCAUAUGCUUUUAUCAUAUGAAGGGGAACAUGAAACGCACUUGCAAGUUGAAAAAGCGUGAUCACAUACUUAUGCACUUUGAGCAGGCUGCGAAAUCUUAUUCCAUUGCUGAAUUUGAUUGUCAUUUUCGCAACAUCAAGCGAAAGGAACAUGUUGCUCAAUAUCUUGAAGAGGCAGGGUUACAUAAGUGGUCUAGAGCUCACAUGGAUGGACGCCGCUACAAUGUAAUGACAACAAAUAUUGCGGAGUCAAUCAACUCAGUCCUUAGGUUUGCAAGGAUGCUGCCAGUGGUUCAUUUGAUAGGGGAAAUUGUUAAUCUCCUUGUGAAAUGGUUCACCGAACGUCGUGAGUUGGCUUUGAAUUGCACAACAACAUUGUGCCCCAAUUUCGGAGAGAAGAAGUUGAGGAACAGGUUGGAGGAUGCUGCAAGGAUGAAUGUGGUUAAAUUAAAUAAUGCACAGUUUAAUGUUUUGGACGGUGAUAAGGACGGCCUCGUAGAUUUGACGAACAACAGUUGUAGUUGUAGAAAGUUUCAGCUUGAGCAGCUACCUUGCAAGCAUGUAGUUGCAGUUUGCCGCUUCUUGAAAGUAAAUGUAUACUCAAAGGCUUCUCGGUAUUACACUCGGAAAACCUGGAUGGAUGCUUAUUCGGAUAGCAUCUACCCGGUACAACCUCAAGGAAUGUGGGAUAUUCCUGAAGAUGUUCGAAGUCGAGUUGUGUUGCCUCCCAUGGCAAGGGUCAUGCCAGGCAGACGAAAGAAGAUAAGAAUUCCCUCGAAAGGAGAGGGCACCAUUAGAAGAAAGUGCUCAAGGUGCGGUUCCGCAGGCCACAAUAAAAGCACCUGUAAAAACAAUAUUCCAUUGCGCAAUGUAUCUUAGACAAUAUGAUUUGUGUUGCUUUGGUAGGUCAUGUAAACUCUACUUUUAUUCGUGGUGGGUUUCGUGUUAUGUUGAAUGGGAAUUCUUUUAAAUUUGCAUAAUUUCGGUUGCAUUGCUACAGCAUGUUGUAUUGCUGACAGAUUGCGAUUAUAUUGUACGUUUAUUGCACUGGUAUUGCUUCCAGAUUGCUAUUAUAAUUUGAGUGCGAAAUUAAAGGGACUGGAAUGUAAUUCCAAAUGGAUCCAAAACAUUAAAGUUUUUAGAAUUCCUUUAUUACACAGUUACUGUGAUACUCUGACUAUACUUUCUUUUCUGAUUACAAAUUCGGCCGAUGCAUAGGCCAGAUGUGGGGCAAAUACAAGGUGAAAUGUCCUGUGUGUUUGACUACAUAUACUUGUUGAAGGAGCAUUACGAAUGUCAACCUCAAUAGAUUGCUCAUGUCUUGCCAAGAACACUCUUGAAUUUAUGCAAUGUGCCCAAGCCAGUCCCAAAGCUGGACUCACCCGUCUGCCUGAUGUGUCCAGGGACUCCAAGUUUCCCAACCUCACCCCAUUCACUCCAUCAUGUGGCCCAAUAAAAUCCACCACUUGGUUGGUGACAACCACCGCCAACCCAAACUUAUUUGCUAAACCCUUCAAUGUCCCAGAUAUGUUGAAGAACAUUUCAGACCGCCGUUUCAAAUCUGCCGGUGUUGUCUGAUACUGUGAUCGGAACAAUGCAGCAAUGGAAUCAAUGACAAUGAGUUUCACAGGUAGGCGGGUGUGAUCAAUGGCAAUAAAUGCUUCAAUGUCUCCAAGGACAUGGAUGAGUUGUUGAGCAUCAUGAACACCAUGAACAUAUAUGUCUUCCAAUGGCUCCAACCUUAUUAAGUUGGGGUAUGAUGCAUGAUAAAGGUUGCCUAGUUGUUGCAAUCGACGAAAUGGGAAGCUGAAUUCUGUGAAUAUGUAGACGGAGGAGCCCCCUAGUCCGCCAUGUGAGGGUGGGAGCUGAGCUCAUACCGUAAGUUGGAGACAAAGCUGCGUCUUCCCGGAACCACUCUCCCCUACUAAUUCUGUUAUGGAGUUGCAGGGUAUCCCACCCCCCAAGCAGUGAUCUAGUAUUGGGCAUCCAAUGGAUAAUUUAGGGGUUGAAAGAGGAAGGAGCAUGAGGUUUUGGGGUGUCAUGUUUGUGUAAUUUAGGGGGGGAUGUGAUGGUGCUACAAGGCAUGCAUUAUAUAUAUAUAGUUCAUUUUGAAGGUCUGUACUGUAGGCCAUAUGUCUUUGAAGGGAUGUAUAAUUCAUCCUUUUUCCAAGUUGUAAUUACUUUUUUGUUUAUUUAGUAUUUUUUUGGACCAAUUAAUUUAAAAAACAUUCUGAUGCAGUACGUACUGUAAUAGGAUCAUAUUGUAACUCUAUCAUCACUCUAUUGGACUCUUAUUGACAUAAUAUUGCCAUUAUACGCAUGUUUAUUGUAUAGUUAUUGCUGCUAUAUCGCCACUGAACUAGACACUGAUAAACUGUAUACGCACAAAUACAAAAAGAGGCUUCAUCAUUCCAUAAAAUCCUAAUUCCAAGCUUACAUAAUACAACAACGGGCCACCCCAUCAUUACAUAAUACAAAAAUAGGCCGCCUCAUAGUUUCAUUUCCCUGGUGUUGACAAAUUCGAAGUUGCAUAGUCUUCAAGUGCGGUGACCGCGACCCAUGAAAUUCAUGACCCCGGCCACAGUGAUGUUGGCCCAGGAUCCUGCCGGAUCCACUAUUUUUGCAAACUUACGAAAAAGUUCAAAUCCGCUUUCCACUUCUUCUUUCUUCAACUUGGCCAUUGCUUCUGAUUCCUUGAAUACCAUAAUUGCAGUGGCAGGGGCAAUUUCAAUUUUUGCUUUCAUUGCCUUUAUAUGUAGGAGAUGCAUGCGAGCAUGAUAACGAGAGCGAAUUGUGCGGUUUUUUAUGACACCCCAUCUACCUUGGCCCUCCACAAUUUUUGAAACUAUGUCUGCAUGAAGAUUUUUCCAAAACAUCGUAUUGCCUCGACAUUGCUGCAUGCCAUGGACCAAGUCUGCAGGGAGUGAAUUAGGUGACUUGGCUUGUGUUUCAGUCUCCCCUCCUUCAGUAAUUGAAAGCGUUGGGUUUGGUGUGAGGUUAUGGUCCAUGGUCUUCGAUAUUUAUUGUAGCCUGGUGUACAACUUAAUUGGAAAAAAAGGGGACUAAAUGCGAUGUGAGUGAAAUCAGUGGGGAAGGUAAUGGCUGCAAGCAGGAGUUAAUGUGAUGGAAGUUUUCAUUUCAAACAGCUGGGUUGAUUAAUAUAGGCAGGUUUUAAUGACCUGGAGUAACUCAGAGAGUUAUUGGCGGGAGGAUUAGGGGGAGUAAUUGGCGGGAGGGAUUGGCGGGAGUCUUAGGCGGGAUAGUAUUGGGCGGGAGUUAUUAGCCAGUUCACUGUAUGCCUUUUUGUAAUAUAGUUGUAUGUUGGACGUUCCGAACUUGGUCAUUUUCCCAUUAUUUAAUUCAAAUAAGGGAUUUGCCUAUUUGCCUAAUUGACCAACUCAUUCAAAUUGAUCAAUAUGGUUAUUGUCUUAUUUCUCAUUUCAGCAAUCUCAAUUCGUUUCCAUUUUUCCAUUAUUCAUAUUUUCCUAUUUUCCAUGUGUCAUCCAAUUUUCCAAUUUUCCAAUUUCUCAAGUUUCCUUUUGUUAUAUUUCCAGUUUUCCAAUUUUUCAAUGUUCCCAUUUUCCCAUUAUGUAAUUAAAAAAAGUUGCCUACUUUGCCUAAUUCAGAAAGUAAAUAAAAUUGUCCAAUAUGGUAAUUGUCUUAUUUCCCAUUUCCACAAUUUCAAUUCGGUUCCAAUUUUCUUAUUUUCCAUGUGUCCCUGUUUCCUAUUUCCAUUUUUCAAAUUCAGUUUUUGUCCAAUUAUCCAAUUUUCUUUUUUCCAAUUGGACUAUUUUCUAAGUUUCUUUCUUUUUCCUUUUUCCAAUUUUCCAAUUUUUCAAUUUGCUAACUUUCCUUUUGUUCUAUUUCCAAUUUUCCUAUUUUCCAAGUUGCCUUAUUUCCUAGUUUGCAAUUAUCCAGUUAUCCAAUAUUCCAAAUUUUCAAUUAUCCAAUUUGCGAAUUUGCCUAUUUUUCAAGUGUCCUUUUUUCCUAUUUCCUAUUUAGAAUUUUCCAAUUUUCUUCUUUUCAGAGUUUCCAUUUCUUCCUUUUUCCUAUUUUCCAAGUUUCCUUUUGUCCAAUUUCCAAUUUUUCAAUUUUCCAAGUUGCUUUAUUUUCCAAUUACCCAAAUUUACAAUUUUCCAAGUGUCCUUUUUUCCUUUUUCCUAUUUUCCUAUUUUCCAAUUUUCCAAUUUUCCAAUUUUCUCCAAUUUUCCAACUGUCAUUUUAUCCUAUUUCCUAGUUUCCUCUUUCCAAUUUUUCCUUUUUUCCUAUGUCCAAUUUUUCAAUUUUCCAAAUUUCCAAGUUUCCAUUUUUUCGUAUUUCCGAUUUUCCAAUUUUCCUUUUGUUCUAUUUCCAAUUUUCCAAGUUUCCUUAUUCCCAUUUUCCAAGUUUUCACUUUUCCAAUUGUCCAAUUUUCCAAUUUUCCAAUUUCGGUAAUUUCCAAUUUUCUUUUCUGAAAUUCGCAAUAAAUGCUUAGUGACAUAGUCCUAUUUUGGGUUGAAAUCCACAAUUUACAAUGUCCCAUUAAGGUUUGCUUUUUUGUCGUUUGGAAGCCAUUUUUGUUGUUGUUAAUGUAAUGUUGUACUGCUGUAAAUUGCAGCCAAGGAGUUAAUGGUGUAGUUUGCAAUCCCAUCAAUUGAAUGCACCAACUAAACACGCAAUAUACUUCAUAGUAGUUCGUACAUAUAACUGAACCUUCCUAUAUAGAACUGCAACAGAGGCACCUUCUUAACGGGAAAGGUAAUUAGUCUUAGUGCAGCACAAAUAUUCUCCACUAAAGCUAACCAUGUUGUCGUUUACAACUGGACACUGAAUGUAGCUUUAUUUGUUUUGUUGCAGGCAACAGCUGUGAAUUGUCCCCAACAAUACUUAAAGAUGUCGGAUGUACGCCCUCCAAAUGAGCAUGUCAGUUACCCGGGGGACCAGCCGUGGCAUGUGCCAUUCCCAUCUCCACCUCGGACUCCCAAUCAUGAUCCCACUUCAUCUGGAAGUGAGGCUGAGAUCAAUGAUCCGCUUGACCAAAUCUUUGCCGUCAAGCACCACCUCCAAUAUAUGUCAAAGGCAACGGAUUGGUGGGAGAGUAAGUGCGAUAUUCAUGGCCAAGUUUUGGGAAACUUGGCGAACAAGUUGAACAAAGCAUACGCAGGAGAGGUGAAGCAAACUCUAAAAGUAAAAAGUCGGAGCAAAGAGUUAGAGUCGUUGAAGUUGAAAUUGGAAGAGAGAAAGAAAAAUGCCGUCGAAAAAUUCACACAAUCUGAAGAAUAUAACCAUGAAAUGGUUGAAUGUUUCAACAACGGCUUCGAAAUGUUCCGAGAUUAUGCUUCGGUCAUCUCACCAGACUACAAUUGGAGUGAAAUUGAUGUAGCUGGUGUCUGGCAGGUGCUGAAUAUGGGUGCUGAGGGAAUGGCUCAUCAUAGCCUCGUGCAUGCAGCGAGGAGAAAGGACAAAGACAUGGAUCUUUUGAUGGACCUGUAGUAACGGUGAGUGCUGCUUCAGUUCAUCUCACCUGAGUACAUGGAUCUUUUGUUGCCUUCAUUUUCCCUUCGCGGGAUAGUAUUGUUAAGGUUCGGUGGCGAUUUCUUUUGCAUGGGUGAAAUGUUGUCUGUAAUGUGUAUGUAUUGUAUGUAGAUUGACUUAAUAUUGUAGUUCUAUUGCAUGUAUAUUGCCUUCAUAUUGCCUGUAUAUUGUGUAGAUAGUGUAUGCAUAUUGCCACCCUAUUGUAUCUAUAGUGGAAUACUAUUGCUAUCGUAUUGCCCUUAUAUUGCUCUAAUAUUGCCUCUAUAGUGCACUUAUAUUGACCUAAUAUUGCUGUUAUAUCGUAUGUCAAUGGCAUGUGGUCUAAUAAGUCUCCACUUCGUUGAAAGUAAUCCUGAAUUCAACUAUGACGGACACGACAAUUGUUAUCCAUCCUUAUAUUACCAUGAAUUGAUGUGGACCUUUCAAAUGAUAGCUGGAGUUGCACAUGGAAUCAUAUUCAAAAGGAAAGUAAUUCUCUCCCUCAAUUAAUUGUCCUUCAAAAGAAGGCAGCUAUCAAAUAUUGGGUACAAAAAUGCAACAUCCACGGUAAAUGAAUUGGCCACAAACCAUAUAUUACGAAACCAUGAUGAUUUUUGGCAUGCUUCAAAAGAGAAGGGCCAAAUACAACAGAAAAUAAAAUCCAUUCAAGCUUGUACAAUGGAAUGCACAAUAACCCUGUUACAUGUCCUUCCAACACCAAUGUUUUGCCUACUUUAGAGUCACAGGAGGAGAGCAUAUUGCCAUUGUGCAAUUCGAGGGGCCAGUCAAUUUGGAAUGGUGGCAUAAACAUGUUUACUCCACGGAUCACCUCUAUGGGACAGAGCUUCCUUCUUCCCUUGUUGUCUGUAGGUUUGAACUUCACACUUUUUAUGUACAUGUAUCAGAACUUGUGGCUAUUUCUUUAUGGCCUUCUAACACUUGUUCUGCCAUUCCAAAGUGGGUUGGAGAUUUUUUGACCUGAAUGACUGAAAAGACUUCAGAUGACAGAAACUAGAGAUUUUGAAGAAAAAGGGUUAUCAAGAACAUAAGUCAUGCCCACAAAAUAAACUAAACAUGCUAUAAGCUCCACAGUAAUUUUUACUUCAUCUCCAUAAGCAGAAUAUGAGCGAAUAAAUACCACGGAGAAAUACGAGAAGUGAAAAACAACUCGGCAGUUACUGUGAGAUUGUGUACAUAAAACUUGGAACAACUAAACCAAUUAAAGCUAAGCCAUCUCAUACGUAUACCUACAUCAAAUAACAGUAUAUGGUCAUCUUGUUUAGAAUAUUGCAAUCAACACUUGGUUGAGACCAACAUGCAAAAAAACUAGGUUAAGUACAGAUGAAGCCAUUGAUGAAGGGCAGUUCCAGAAUUAAGACCUAUGGUAAUUUGUAACUGCCACCGAGUCAGUUCAUAGUGCCAAAUGCAUCUACCGGCCACGCACAUAUGACCAGCGAAAAGUAAAAAAGCAAAGUAAAAAAGAAAAAAGAGGCAUGCUAUAAAUGGGAACCUCAGCAGAAAUCAUCACAUAUGCAUACAAGCAGAUGGGCUCCAUUACAAUGUUCAAGAAUGAUGUAAAUACUAGAUAACAGAGUUCUUAUUCAAACCUCAGGAGGUUUGUUGGUUUCAUUCCUGGACCUUCAAUAUCGUCUUGCCCAAUAGCAUCAGUUGACUUAGUCAAAGUUCCAGACAAACACUCAACCAUUUCUUUUAGACCCUGCAAGAAAGUGGCAUGACUUAAAUUUAAUUUUUGGAUGGUGCGAUGAAUUCAGUUGGUUCUUUUUCUGAUAUGCAACAUAACGAAACUACACCAAAGAUCAGGCAGAUCUGGGAGCAUCCAUGUAAUUAUAGAUGAUAAAAACAAGCUAUACCUUUAACACGGAGUCAGCAACUUCUUUCACAAUUUUGUAUUCACCUUUACAUAAAUAAGUAGCAAUCAGGGCCUACAAACAAACACAUUUUAGCUGUGUAAAUUUGAUGUCAAAUGCAAAGACACACACUUCAUCACAAAACCCCAAUUUGCAGACAAAAAUCUGUGAAAUUUGGUCCAGUUAAAAUAGGAAAAGAAUUCCACACUCGGGGUGAAGUAAAACUAAAAGUUAGACUUCACCCACUGAUUGAUCUGGAUCACCAAAUGGAAAUGAGUACAUACGAACUGCGAUGAAAAAAUGAGAGAGAGCAUACCUGACCAGAUGCAGCCAUUGCAUCAGUUAGAAGGGAUACAGCCAACCAAACUUGUAUACAUAUCUGAUGAGCAGCCAUAGCUACUGGACCUUGACGACCAGCCAUUGAUGUUCCCAAUGUCAAGGUAGUAAGAACAGCAAGAGUUGUUCCAAGAAGAAAACCACCUGUAUCAUCCCAGAGUUGAAAACAAAAGCAAUUAGGGAAAGAACUUUGAAAAGGAAGACAAGAGAGAAUUAUCUCGAGGUUUAACUAGCAUCACAAAGACAAAAUGAAACAUUAAGACACACACUGUCCAGAUACAUGCACUGCUCAAUCAGAAAACGAAAAAAGUCAAAUAUUAUGAUAGUGUUGAUAGUCAAGCAAAUAAUUGAAGCAGAACACUCACUACUACAAAAAGUGAAAAAGACGACCAGAAAACAACGACGGUCUAAGUGAAAACCGUCGUGGUUUUUAAAAAGACGACGGUUCUAAAAACACCGUCGUGUAAUACCACCUUAGACAACUAAAAAUGGAGAUUCAAAUGGCUGUUCAAAAACAACGACGUACCUAAUAAAAAAACCGACGUCUAUUUGAAACAGAUUUCCGCAGUGUAAAAUCAAAGCCAACAAAGAACGGCAGAAGUUAUGAAUCGACCGACGUAGAAAGUAAAGACGACGAUUUCAAUAAAAGCCGCCGUUUUUACUCAUAAAAUAACACGACGAAAUUUUCGUAUAAGACGCCGUAUAAUUACAAACAAAUCGACGGCUUUAAAAUACAAAAUGUCGCCGUAUUAAAUUAAUUUACAACGACGGAAAAUAUAAAUAUAUCGACGUCAUUCUCGUAUAGUUCUACGACGUUAUCUUUAAAUCGUACUAUAAAAUUUAACGUCGUAUUUAUUCAUUUUAUACGUCGUACCUUUAAUUUAAACCGUCGUCUUAAUAAGAAUUUUUGUUAACAAUUUUUUCCUUUAUUUUCUUAUCCUACGUCGGUAGAUCUACUUAAUGACAAGAAUUGAAAUUUGUCAUCCAAAAAAGAAACUUUACAUAUUCCAGAACAUUAAUUUCCUUCAUUUUAAAUUUCCUCCGGAAAAAAAACUCUAUUUAUAACGCACUGUAAUUGAAAAAUAAACUGAAAGGUCACGGGAAAAAAAUUUCUAUUCAUAAUUUAACAAUUCAAAUCCACGUCGGUUAUAUUAAACCUAACGACGUUAAAUGAAAAGAUUCCACGUCGCAAAACAAAUAUUGCGUCGUGUUAGUUUAUGGUUUCUUUAAUAGUUUCAGUUUCUUUAACAGUUUGGUCCUUUAUCUUUCUGCAGGACUUGUAUAGUUCAAAGCAUUGACUUGUAUAGUUCAGAGUAUAGUUCAAAGCACUGAUUCGAUUGCUCAUGCUUUAUCGCAUUCAUGAAGCCAUUUCUAUUCUUUAUCGCAGUCUUGAAACCCAUCUUCUUCUUCUGAAGCUCUACGGAUAAAGGAAGAGGCUAUCACAAAUCUGACGGAUCUUCUUAGCCAAGAAAAUCAAGCAGAGGAUCAGGCACAUCUGAUCUUCAGAUUUAAUUUUUAAAAUAUAUUGAAUAUGCAAGUAACAAAAAAAAAAAAAUUAAUGGAAAUGCAAUUAACCUUACAAAUACAGAAGCACUAAGUGUCCUAUCAGGCUUGAUCAAGGAAGUGAGAAGGCUAGUUGACAAGCUUCUUCUUGUGGACAUAGAUUUGAUGCGAGUAAGCUCAAUUUCUCUUUGAGAAAGACAUCCAAAUUACUGUCUUUGAGAUGUGAGAGACAGUGUCUCUGAGAGAGGAAGAACUUGGAACCCUAAAUGUAAACCGAAAAUGAAUGAAAGCGACAAAUUUAUAGAAUAAAUUUUUAAAACCAACGGCGGUCCUUACAAAAAAACCGUCGUUUAAAUUGUAAAAUCAACGUCGGUAUGACCGACGUAUAUUACAUAAAUCCACGUCGGUACAUUAAUAAAACCGACGUGUUAAAUGAUCUACCAUGACGCGAGUUUUUACUUAUGUACUUUAAUUUUUGAGUUUACUACGACGGUACCUACAACACUACUGUCGUACUUAUUUACCACGUCCGAAGUUAAACGUACUGUUGUAUUUUGUAAUUUAUACGUCGUAGUUAUAUGUAACCGCCGUAUUAUUUUUUUGAAAUGGUUUUAUAUGUAAGCAACUUUUCGUCUACCUGACUUACACAUGCACUGUUUCCAAACCCGAUUAAAAAUUUCAAUCUCCCAGAGAAAACUUUUAGACUUUUUUCCUUGUCAGAGCACUUUCAGAGUAUCUCAUCGUCUUCCUCUCGUCUUCUUCGUCGUCUCUGAACUUAAACAUCGAUCGUCUUCCUCUUGCUUUCAUUGCACGCAAAAGGUAAGCUUUCAUUUUCACUAUUUUGGUUGCUGUUUUGCAUGCUCAUACGUUUUUUGUUUGAAAAAUCUUUUUACCUUUUUUCUGGCCAAAAUCAUUUUACUUCUUUCCAAGUUCGAUAAAAUAUACACACAAAGAGGGAAAGUUUCCAACUUUGAAGACAAAUACCUCAACUAAAUAAGACGACGGUAGCUUCUUAUUUACGUGGUUAAAUAUGUAGACCACGACGGUUCGUCAGUCGUUCUAGCGUCGUCUGAAAAUUGACAAAGUUGUUUUUAAAAUUAUAUUCUUUUUUUUAUUUGCUUGUUUAAUUGCAGGUUUGAUUUCUCUGAACAAUGGUUUUUGUUUUUCCCUAAUUUGAUAAAAUAUAAAGAAAAAGAAAUUAGGGUUGGUAUCUAAUAUAGACGACAGUAUCUUAUUGUUUUACGUCGUGUGAAUGUUAAUACCACGACGUCAUAUUAAAAUACCGUCGUCUAUAUAAGAUUCCAAAACUUUCUUUCUUGGCCUUGUAUUUUAUCAAAUUAGAAAACAAAAACCAUGGUUCAGAAAAAUCAAAUCUGCAAUAAAACAUUCACAGAGAAAGAAAGAAGGGUUUUGGAUCCUUAUAUAGACGACGGUAUAUUAAUACUGACGUCGUGUGAACAUCAAUACCACGACGUUAUAUAAAUAUUCCGUCGUUUAUAGUUAAUUAUUACGUCGUUUGUAGUUAAUUAUUUCGUCGUUGUUUAAUUACCUUGGUUUUAAACAUUUAUUACGUCUGAUAUUAUUUCAUUGCGUCGUUUAAAAUCAUAUCAUACGUCGUCUUUUAUUAAUAACCGUCGUUUGUGUUCUUAAUCUUUUCUUGAAAUAUUUUCACUUGCAGUUUUGUCUGUAAAAAUGGUUUCUCACCAAGACCAAAGUAAGGAUUCUGGCUCCAAGAAAAAUGGAGGUAAGGAGCAAGUACCUCCUCAAGAGAAGUCUUCGAAGAUAAUGAAGUCUUCGAAGAAGAUGAAGUUUGCUUCAUCAUCUGCUGAUACAGAACCAACCAGCGCGACAACAAUCUCUGAUGAUUCAAAGGCUGGUCGAGGUAUGAGCACAAUGCCUCGUGUUGUGAAGAGAAAACUUCAGAAACUGAGGCCAAUUGUUGAGUACAAUAAAAGGGGGAAAGGAAUUGGCCAAGCACACAGUGAGAUGCAGUCCUAUAUUGGUGUGUUGGCACGCUCCAGAGUUCCACUUGUGGACUUGAAAUGGGCUCAAAUCCCCAAGGAUAUAAAGGAGCAGAUUUGGGAAGCAGUUGACAUUGCUUUUGUAGUAGGUCAAGGGGGCAAGAACUCUGUCUUAACUUCUGCUGCCAAGAAAUGGAAGGAUUUCAAGUCUACACUAAUGAGGCAUUAUAUCCUUCCAUACACCAAUGACAGGGAGAGAUUAAGCCAACCCCCUGAAACAUAUAAAUUCAUAGAGAAAGCACAAUGGGAUGCCUUUGUAGCUUCAAGGUUAUCCAAAGAUUUUGAGUCUGUGCAUUCUCAGCAUGCACAGAUUAGGGAGAAACUCGAGUACAAUCAUCGAUUGUCUCGAAAAGGAUAUGCUGGUUUGGAGGAUCAAUUAGAGGAAACCAUGCCUGGGGUAGAAAUUGAUCGAUCUACCUUAUGGAAGAGAGCUAGACAGGACAAACAUGGUAACAUCCCUGAUCCAAAGGUGGCAGAGAAAGCAAAAUUAAUUGUAAGCCUACUCACUCUGUUUUAAAUUUUUAUUAAACUGUGAAUAAUUCUUAUUACGUCUUAUGUUAUAUUUUGCGUCGUGUGAAUGAUAUUACCACGUCGACAUUUUUUAAAACACGUCGUUAAAGGUCUAAAUAGGAAUCACAACUCUGUUUUCUGUAAUUAUAGCAUAAGAUGUCGGUGGUUCAAUUUCGCGUCGUCUGUAUUAAAUUACUACGUCGAAAUGUUUUAAACAACGUCGUUAAAGGUGUGAAUAUUGAAUCAUCCCUCUGUUACAUAAGACGUCGGUGGUUUAUUAAUUUCGUCGUUUUAAAAAACUAACCACGUCGGUAUAACUACCGUCGUGAUAAAUUAUAAUAACGUCGAUUUAUAUGUUAUUGCGUCGUGUGAAAUUAUAUAAUACGUCGUUUGUAUAUAAAUAACCGUCGUGUGUUUUUGUUCUUACUUUUUUAUAUAUCUUUGUUUUAGGAUGAUUUGCAAAAACAAGUCUCGGAAGGCAAAGUCACCGUCUCUGGCAGCAAUGAUGUGCUGACCAUGGCUUUGGGCCCCGAGCAUCCAGGCAGAGUCAGAGGAGUAGGUGCUGGGAUCUCACCAAAGCAAUAUUUCAAUUUACCCAAACCACAGAGAGUGAGCUUUGACGACCGUUUGAAGGACAGUUUAAGAGUUCUCCUUCAAGAAGAGACUAAAAAGAUGGAGGCUAAGGCAAGGGAAGAGGCUUUAAGGAUGGAGGCUAGAACGAAACAAUUGGUAGAGGCUAAGAGGGAGCAUUUCCUGAGUCAGCUUUCCCAAUUAAUUCCCAAUUUUGAUCCAAGCAUGCUUAAACCCAGAAUUAGCCAAAGUCCCAAAAAUCCAAUGUCUGACAAAGCAAGCUGCUCUGGAGGUGAUGUGAGAUCCCAGCAUUUUGAGGAUGAUACUGCCAAAAAUGGGAAACAUCAGGAAGAAAAGGUAACAAAUCUGAACUUUGAAUUCUCUGUUUUUUUAAAAACCAUUAGACGUCGUUAUUAUUAAUAAAACCGUCGUUUGAAAUACAUACCACGACGAUUUUAAAAAUAAACCGUCGUUUGUAUUUCAAUACCACGUCGUAUUUAGUUUACUUGUUUUACACGCCAUUAAACGUCGUUAUUUUUAAAACUUUGUGGUUUUUAGACGACGGAGUUAAUCAUUCCCGACGUCAUAGAUGAAGAGAAUAAAGAAGAAAAACAAGAUGGAAAGGAGAAAGAAGAUGACGACCAGGUAUGUUCACAUAACUUUGCCUUUUUUAUUUGUUUUUCAAAAUUCCAGACAUCGAUAUUUUUCUUUAAACCGUCGUUUGUUUACAACUUAGACGGCGGAAUUGUUUUCUAAGACGUAAUAAAUAAUUCACCACGACGGUUAUUUCACCGUCGUUUAAAUUCUUUUCAGACGACGUUUUAUUCCUUAAACCGUCGUUUUUAUUGAAUUACCACGUCAUUUUUUUUAUUUCUUUAAACAGGUUAUUAAAGUUGUUGAUUAUUCAAAUAUGGAGGCGCCAUCUUCUUUAAAAACCCUUUGUCGUUAUGUGGAAACGACACUCGUGCCUCAGGAUAAGACACUGCACUUUACAUUUGAUAAGGAGGUGUUUGGUCUAGAGCGCGAUACCUUCCUCCUGCCUGAAGAUAUUACACAAUUUGCAGGCAUGGAAGAAAUAGGAGCCACUGUCAUUGCUGUAUAUAUGAGGUUUGUCAUUCUAAAAUAAUACGUCGUUGGUUUAUUUAUUGCGUCGUCUUAACCAACUAACCACGUCGUUAGUAUGUACCGUCGUGAUAAAUAUAUUAUAACGUCGUUGUCUAUUUCAGUACGUCGUGUGAAAUUUUAUAAUACGUCGUUUUGUUAUACAUAACCGUCGUGUGUUUUUUUGUAUAUAUGAGGUUUGUCAUUCUAAAAUAAUACGUCGUUGGUUUAUUUAUUGCGUCGUCUUAACUAACUAACCACGUCGUUAGUAUGUACCGUCGUGAUAAAUAUAUUAUAACGUCGUUCUCUAUUUCAGUACGUCGUGUGAAAUUUUAUAAUACGUCGUUUUGUUAUACAUAACCGUCGUGUGUUUUUUUGUGCUGACUUGUUUAUAUUAUUUUAUAUAUUUACGUACUUACACGAUGUUUUGAAACGAGCUAAUAUGUGUAGCAUGGUUGGCUUUAUCGACCCUGCUACAGUUAGUGCCAGCUCUGGCACAAUAGCUGAUAGAUCACGCCUACUGGCAGCUCGACUUCAGAGGACUGACGGUGAACAGAUUUUCCUGAUGCCUUACAAUCCCGGGUUAGUCUCCUUAACAGGAUUUUGUUUUUAUGAUUUUCAAUAAAUGACAGCGUAUAAACUAACCACGUCGGUGUUUUAUUUUAUUGAGUCGUUUGAAACGACUAACCACGUCGGUAGUUAUUUAUCGUCGUGAUAAAUAUAUAAUGUCGUCGAUUGCUACUUUAUUUCGUCGUGUGAAAUAUUAUAAUACGUCGUUUUUGUAAAUAACCGUCGUUUUUAUAUUAAUUUUGUGCAGCCGUCAUUGGAUCUUGCUGAUUGUAAGAGCAAAGAGGGAAACAGUCUAUUUUCUGGAUCCUCUGCCAGGAAAUCGUGUGGUCGAUGAAGAGGCCAAAAACAUCGUGAACAGUGCUAUAAAAAUUUAUAAUUCCCACAUAGGCAGAUCAGGCCGUAAGGCAGUCAUUUGGAAAACUCUGUCAGGCACACCAAAGCAACCCAGCAAUGUCGAAUGCGGGUAUUACGUGAUGCGCUUCAUGAAGGACAUCAUCAUGGAUCCUUCCUUGGGGUUUGAGAAGAAGGUAAGAAGAAAUAACCUUCAAACAUUUUACGUCGUUUUUUGUAUUAUCAACGACGGUCAUGUAAAAUUACCGUCGUUGAAUAGAUAUACUACGUCGGUUAUGGUCGUCUGUGAUUGAAUUUUCUUUUAUUUAUAAACCCUAAUAGUCAUUGUUUAUGCAGUAUGCGAAGGGAAAACAGGAAGAGCCAUACCCCCAAGAAGCAAUUGAUGAAGUCCGGAAUGAAUGGGCAGAGUUUGUUUGCCUUCACCUGGAAUAGGGGAAUUAUUGAACACUUGAUAUUUAUGUAUAAUGUACAAAUUUUGUCUAUAAUAUAUAAUGUAAAAAUUUGUUGAGGUUUUCUUAAAUUAAAAAAAAAAAACAAACAUACAAAAUGCGUAACCGACGUGUAAUACUUUUCCAACGACGUAAUAAAGUCAAAAGCCGUCGUUUUUUGUGGUUUCGUUUUAAACAAAUCCGACGUAAAAGGAUAUUUAGACGACGUUCUUUGAACAAUGGAGUCGUUUAUGGUUUACAACGUCUUCAAUUUCUUAAGGGUUCAGGGUAGUACUUUGUAACGACAGCGGUUAAGUCGUGGAAUAUAUAUUUUACGUCGGAUAGUUAAAUAUCCGCCAUGGUUUCUCAUUUAAACGACGUCAUUUUAACAACUUAGUCGUCUAUUACAAUUUACAACGUCUACAAUUUAUUAACACCGACGUGGUUUGUUGUUGUGAUAAGAAUAUUUUAUUAUUUUUAUAUCAAAAUAUUCAAAAUAAAUUUAAAAUAAAUCAGAAAAAUGCAAAGUCAACUCCUAUGAAGUCAUUGAUAUAUUUUCUUCCCCCUAAACCUUGAAAAAAUUCAUUUUGAAUAACAAAAAUUUAAAAUGAACAUCCAAAACAAAAUUGUUUUGAUGAGUCAUAAAAUCACUUCUAGUUUUAUGGUUUAGGGUUUAGAGUCUAGGGUUUAGAGAUUAAGGUUGUUAUUUAUUGGGGUUUAUUUUUAAAGUAUAAUUUUUGGGUAGUCUAGGGUAUAUAUUAGGCUGUAAAACCAUAAACCCUUUUAUAAACUUAAUUUUUAAAAUUAUAUAAUUUAGUUUUAAGGGUUUAGGGUAUUAAUUGUUAACCACGGUGGUUGAGUCGUGGAAUACAUAUGUUACGUCGUGCAGUAAAUUAUCCGACAUGGUUUCUACUUUAAACGACGUUAUUUUAAUAUGUAAGUCGUCUAUUAUAAUUUACAACGUUUUCAAUUUCUUAACCCCGACGUGGUUUUUCAGUCGUCUUUAUAUCAAAAUAUUCAAAAUUAAUUUAAAAUUAAUCCGAAAAAUGCAGCGUCAAAAUAAACGGCGUUACGUUCAGUGUUUCCGUCGUGGAAUAUUACAUUUACGUCGGUUCUUGUAGAACUUUCGCCAUGGUUUUUCUUUCGACGUUUUAAAGAGCGCGCGCUCUAAAAAUUUUCGCCCGUCCUAAAUUUUUUUAUAUUUGGCUCUUAUUCUUAUACUUCUAACCCUGAACCCUAAAAUUUUCAGAUUUCGCGCAACAUAACAUUUCGCUCUCUCACUUCUGCUCUAAUUAAAAGUUGCACUCUCCAGGCUCCGUCGAAUCUGUGAGCUCGUCCAACCUGUAAGUACAAACCCUAUCUUCCCCUUGUAAAUUCAUUGAAUGAUAUUAGGUUGUUUUGUUAAAGGGUUUUAGGUAUAUGCUUUGCGAUCUGUUAAUAAUGUGCUUAUAAGUAUGGGUUCAUGGAUCUUCUGUUUAAUGGGUUCAUGGAUUACAUUAUCUGUUAUGUUGAAUUGGGAAUGGAUUUAAUUUUGUCGGAUCUUUUAAUCACCCUAUGUUAUGUUGAAUUGGGAAUGGAUUUAUUGUUUUCAUGCUUGGUUUCAUGUAUAUGUUGUUUUCUUGCUUGGUUUCAUAUAUAUGUUGUGUUCUUAAUGGGUUUUGGGUUCUUGAAAAUAAACUGAGACACGACGCCUUUUUAGGCAUACGACGACGAUUACACGACGGUUUAUGAAAAAACCGUCGUUGUAUUACUUAUACACGACGGUUUUUUCAUAAACCGUCGUUUGUAUUACUUAUAUUAGACGACUUCUGUUGAAAAUCCGUCGUCUAUAUAUGCCAAAUACGUCUGUUUUUGUUUAAAACCCGUCGUCUCUGUUGUGUAUUACUUGCUAUUAGAUCUUUGUAUAAUCUGCUAUAGUGAUGGUCAUUGCCUGUAUUUUCACUUUAUUAUAGAUAAUAGGUUAUAGUGUCGAAGAUGGAUAAGUCAUGGAUGCACUCGGAUAGAAGAUCGAAGGCAUAUGAGUUUGGGGUGGAAGCAUUUUUGAACUUUGCUGUAGAAAAUCUUCUAACUACAACACAUAUCCGUUGUCCAUGUGUUAAAUGUGUUAAUUUGAAGUUGUUUGGGGUUGGAAUUAUAAGGGAUCACUUAUACUUUAAUGGAAUUGACCAAAGCUAUAAGAAUUGGACAUUUCACGGAGAACCUUGGGAAGCAACUACUAAUGCUAGUAGAAAUGUUGAAGAAGAUGAUGGCCAUAGUAGGUACAGUUUUGUGUCUGAAGAAAUUGAUAUGGAUGAUAAUGAUUUUGGUUCCGAUCCGUAUGAGUUUGCCAAUGUGAUUGGGGAUGGAGAUCAACCAGUGUAUCCUGGUUGUAGAAAGUACACGAAGUUAUCGGCAUUAGUGAAGUUGUAUAAUUUGAAGGCAAAACAUGGGAUGAGUGAUGUCUGUUUUACAGAAUUAUUGAUACUUCAAGGCGAUUUGCUUCCAGAAGGAAAUACAAUACCAACCUCUAUGUAUGAGGCUAAAAAGACUUUGUGUGCAUUGGGGCUGAGUUAUGAGAAAAUGCACGCAUGCCCCAAUGAUUGCAUCUUGUAUAGGAAGGAGUAUGAGGAUUCAACUAAUUGUCCUACUUGUGGUAUCUCAAGGUGGAAGGAAGGCGAAGAUUCAAUCUUGAAAGAGGGUGUGCCAGCGAAGGUGGUGUGGUAUUUUCCUCCAAUUCCAAGGUUUAAAAGGAUGUUUCAAUCACAUGAGACAGCUAAGAGUUUGACUUGGCAUGCUGCUAGAAAAUCAAUUGACGGUCAGAUGUCUCAUCCGGCGGAUUCCCCGUCUUGGAAACUUCUUGAUGAUAAAUGGCCUGAGUUUGGUAAUGAGCCGAGAAACUUGAGAUUGGCUCUUUCAUCUGAUGGAUUCAAUCCCCACAGUUCUCUAAGUAGCAGAUAUAGUUGUUGGCCGGUUAUCUUAGUUACAUAUAAUCUCCCUCCAUGGCUGUGCAUGAAACGAAAGUUCAUGAUGUUAACCUUAUUGAUUUCUGGUCCUAAACAACCCGGAAAUGAUAUAGACGUCUACUUGGAGCCUUUGAUUGAUGAUUUAAAAUCUUUGUGGGAUGGGAUUAGAGGAGUGUAUGAUGCACAUAAUGGAGAAUACUUUACACUCAGAGCUGCAUUAAUGUGGACAAUUAAUGAUUUCCCCGCCUAUGGAAACUUAUCUGGUUGUGUUGUUAAAGGAUAUAAAGCUUGUCCAAUAUGCGGCGAUGAUACACCUAGUCACAGGUUGAAAAAUGGCCACAAAAUUUGUUACAUUGGGCAUAGAAAAUGGUUACCAAUCAAUCAUCCAUAUAGGAGGCAACGUGCAGCUUUUAAUGGGAAACCUGAAUAUGGCAUAACUCCCGAGCCAUUAACCAGAGAAGAAAUGCUGCAUAUGGUUGAAAAUGGUGACAGAGUUUGUUGGAAGAAGAAAUCAAUAUUCUUUGAUCUCGAGUAUUGGAAAUACCUUCUUGUGAGGCAUGCCCUAGAUGUUAUGCACAUUGAGAAGAAUGUUUGUGAUAGUAUCAUUGGUACAUUGCUGGAGAUCCCUGGAAAAAAUAAAGAUGGGAUUGCUGCUCGAUUAGAUUUAUUGAACAUGGGGGUCAAAACUGAUUUGCAACCUGAGUAUGGAGAAAGACGUACUCGUUUGCCUCAUGGGCCUUGGAAUUUGUCAAGAGCAGAGAAGAGAGAGGUUUGCAAUUCUUUCUAUGGUAUGAAGGUCCCUGAAGGUUAUUCUUCAAAUAUUAAAAAUCUUGUAUCUUUACAAGAUUCAAGACUUCUUGGCCUUAAAUCACAUGAUUGUCAUACCUUAAUGCAACAAUUGCUCCCUGUGGCAAUUCGUUCUGUUUUGGAGAAGCCUGCAAGGUAUGCAAUAACUCGUUUGUGCUUCUUCUUCAAUGCUAUAUGUGCAAAGACUGUUGAUGUUUCCAAGCUAGAUAAGUUGGAAGAAGAUGUAGUAGUUACUCUGUGUUUGCUUGAGAAGUACUUUCCCCCUUCAUUCUUUGAUAUCAUGGUUCAUCUAGUAGUACAUCUUGUCAGAGAAGUUCGUCUAUGUGGGCCAGUAUAUUUUAGGUGGAUGUAUCCGUUUGAAAGAUAUAUGAAAGUGCUGAAGGGGUAUGUUCAGAAUCGUACUCGUCCCGAAGGUUGCAUUGCUGAGCGGUAUAUAGCUGAAGAAGCGGUAGAGUGUUGUACUCAGCAUUUAUCUGAUGUUAGUACAGUUGGAGUGCCUUCAAGCCAAAAGAUGGGACUUUCAAAGCCAUUAUCAGGUUGCACAGUGAGCGUAGUUGAUCAGGACCUGUUGAAUCAAGCACAUCUAUAUGUCUUGGAGAAUACGGAGGAAGUCCUACCUUAUAUCGAGUACGUAUGAGCUUUAUUCUUUCAGUUUCCAUUUUAAAUUAUUUCUUAUGUUUAUCUUCUAUAUUUAGGACAGUAAUGCUUGAAUUUUUCGUGUCAUGUAGGCAACAUAUGAUCCACAUCAAGACUGCUUAUCCAAAAUUUAGAAAGAGAACAAAGUGGCUGCAGGAUAAGCACAAUAGCACUUUCAUUCAAUGGCUACGCUUCAAGGUAUAUGUUGUUGAAUAACAUAUUUCUCUUUUAAUUUUCUUCUUAUUUAUAUGUUAGAUUGAAUUAAGAUAUGAUUAAUUUGCAGGUUCAAAGUGAACUUGAGGAAGACAAUCAUGGCGUAUCAGAAAAUUUAAGGUGGCUAGCAGCUGGUCCAAACAUGUCAGUGCCAUUAUAUAGGAGCUAUCUUAUUAAAGGUAUUAAAUUUAAUAUCAAGGCACAAGAUGAUGUGCGGACAACUCAAAAUAGUGGAGUUUAUUUACUUGCACAUACCAUGCAAGUUGCUAGUGCCAAGGAUAAAAACCCAAUUCUCUCAAAUAUGGGUUUCUAUGGUGUCAUUCAAGAAAUUUGGGACCUUGACUACCAAAAGUUUACAAUCCCAGUCUUUAGGUGUGAUUGGAUAGAUAGUUCUGGUCUUGUAGUCGACGAACUUGGAUUUACCCUUGUAGAUUUGAGUAAAAUUGGACAUAGGAAUGACCAAUUUGUUUUGGCUUCUCAAGUCAAACAAAUAUUUUUUGUUGACGACCCGAUGCAUCGUGGUUGGUCGGUAGUGUUAUCAAUGCCUAAUAGAGAAUAUAAUGAUGUUAUUGGUGAUGAAGUCUUAGGUGAUGUGAUAAUUGAGUGUGAGCCAUUUCCUAGAGGGAUGCCAAAUGUUGACACAUUUGAUGAACUGGUGGGUGAGUUAGGCGGUCAAAAUAUUCGAGAUGGGUGUGAAGAUAUAUGGAUUGAAUGAUGCUUAUGUAAUUGGCAGUGUAUGACAUUAAUUUUGUAAUAUAUUGUAAUGUGAUUUCUUCACUUUCUACGUUCAAAUAAAACACGACGUUAUUGUGAACCAGUUAUUCAGCAUAUUUACCGACGUCUUAAAGCAACGUAACAAUGAAGAACCACGACGCUAUUGUGAAGCAAUUAUUCAGGAUAUCACGUCGGGGAAGGAUUAAGAACCGCCAUGUAAUUCAAAAUAACACGACUCCAAUCCCAUAAUACCGACGUCUAAAAAACGAGAUAUAUAAUCUGAACGUUAAAAAAUACGACGUCAUCAUACAUUUUCCACGUCGCAAGUUCUUUUAUAAACGAAGAGGAACGAAAUGAAUUCCGACGGAAAUUCAUUAUAACCGCCGUCUAAUAACAAUUAAACGACGUUAUUUGUAAUACGGCUCUCAUCAUAAUCUACGCCGUCUAUAUGUUCUGUAAUACGGCUCUCAUUUAUUUGGAACCGACGUUGUUUAGAAGUUCAACGUCGUCUAUAUUAUUAAGUGCGUCGUGAGUAAUGAAUACAUAUAAAUACAACGUCGACUAUAUAAAUGCCACCGACGUUGUUUCGCAUUUCAACGUCAACUAUAUAAAUACAUACGUCGUAAAUAAUGACACUGACAAAUAUUUCCACGUCAUCUUUUUUAGAAAAAUCGAAGUGGAAAAUUUAUUUCAUGACGGUUGUUUGUAAAUAAGAGACGUAGUAUAUUUCAAUAACGUCGUCUUCUCAUGUAUUUAAAGACGUCAUAUUUUUUCUUGUCGUGUAAAUUGUAUUUAACGGCGUAGUAUUUUAGUUGUCGUCGUUGUAUGUAUAUCUUGCGGCCUUGUUCUUUUAAUAUGUGUCAUAUUUUUCCUUUUUAACGACGGUGAUUUGUUUGAGUUGGUCGUCUAUUCUCAUCCUCGACUAUUUUCUAGAACUUUAGCAGACUAAACACGUCUGUUUUUAUUUUUUCCCGACGUUGUUUUAUUUAACAACGUCUAAUAUUUAUCGUCGUUGUUUGUUUAUGAAAAUAGGACGUAUAAAUUUUGUAAUACGACUCUCAUAUAUUUGGAACCGACGUUGUUUCGUUUUUCAACGUCUACUCUAUAAAUACAUACGUCGUAAAUAAUGACACUGACAACUAUUUCCACGUCAUCUUUUAUCGAAAAAUGAAGUGGAAAAUUAAUUUUACGACGGCUGUUUUUAUAUAUGCGACGUAGUAGGUAUCAAUAACGUCGUCUUCUAAUGUAUUUAAAGACGUCAUAUUUUUUAUUGUCGUGAAAAUGAUAUUUAACGGCGUCGUAUUUUUAUUUUCGUCGUUGUAUGUCUAUCUUGCGGCCUUGUUCUCUUAAUAUGUGUCAUAUUUUUCCUUUUUAACGACGGUUUUUUUAGAGAGUUGGUCGUCUAUUCUCAUCCUUGACUGCUUUUUUAGAUCUUUUUGCAGUACAAAGACGUCGUUUUGUAUUUGUUGAUGACGUUGUAUAUUUUAACAAUGACGGUUAUUUAGCGUCGUGGUUUAUGAGGGAAAAGAUGACGGUGGAUUCCACGACCAUUGAAAAACCCAAUACACGACGGUGAUUUACCGUCGUCUUUUUGCUUUUUUGUAGUAGUGACUUGAAAAAAAGGGCUUAUAUUUUCAGAUAUAUGAGAGGGUAAAAGUUUAAAGAAAAAGAAAAGGAACUGAGCAGAUUUUAUGUGUCCACCAAAUUGCAAUGAUCCCACCUUUGGAGGCAAUAGUAUAGCUCUCUUAUUUAAAAACCAGAUCAUUAAAAAGGUGACAGUGUAUCUGAAAACAGAAAUUCCAAAAUAUGUUCAUUUGCGAAGUAAAGCAAAAAAGGAAUAUUAACAGAAACUGUUUUGAAAAUCACAUACUGAGAUAUAACAGUGGAAAGGGCUGCACCAGUUACACCCAAACCAAAAUAAUACAUAAGGAUGGGUAAUAAAAAUGCAGCUAGGAGAUUACCAAUACCUGCACAAAGCAAAAUACAUCAAUUAACCAGAUGGACCACUCAAGCUUAACUAAAUACAAAUAGAAACCAACUAGUUGGGGACAAAGUUAUAAAAACAUUAUGCGAGAAUAACAGACCAGUAACACACACACACACACACACACACACACACACACACACACAUAGAGGUGUGUACAUGUGUGGUUGUAAGAAAAUGGUCUUAGUGAAAGAAACCGUUCUGCAGGAAUGCGCAUAGGUGAGUCCUGUGAUAUUCAAGAAAAAAGAAAAAUCUUGCUUAAAAUUCAAAGCCAAGAGCUUGAGAGAAGAAAAAACACAAAACGUAUGGCUCCCCCCACCCAGACCCACAGAAAUUAAUAAAAUUACACGAAAGUUAUACUAUCACCUGUUAAGUAACCACACAUACACUAGACCUACAAAAUUGUAUAGUAAUUAUUCACAUAAAUAUGUAAACAUGUAUGUACACAGUACACACAGAAAACAUAUGUUUGUAUGUUUAUGUAAACAAAGAUAACAACAGGCAGAUAAAAAAUCAGUAUGAGCUGUAAUUUUAGAUCAGGGAACCUACCAUUGAUAUGGCCAUCAUAUUCAGAAACAAUCCAGAUCCCAAAGACAAGGCUACGGCCUCAAAAAUCCCAAUCCCUACUGAUAAUAGUAAAGCUGUAGACACUGAAGAUAGCUGCUUUCUCUCAGUUACUCCAUCAGUACGUUCGGGUUUACCAUUAGUAAUGUCUCCUAGCCAACCAUUUUCUGUACAAUGAUUAGCCGAAUUUAGAUUACAAAUGGAGAAAUUUUAAGUCACCUAUGCUCUAAUUUAGACAUGAACCCUAACCAAAAUUGAUGUCCAACAGAGAUGAGAAAGUAAUUAAAAAAAGUUAAACUUCACCUGAAGUAGAAACUAUACUUUCACUCUUUGCAAGAUCUUCAGCAACAAAAGAUGUAGCAACACUGAGGAGAGGGAUAUUAAAUAGCUUUGAUAUAUAAUUGAAGAUGUUCAUUGAAAUACCAGCUGAAGCCAACUCCACAGAACCUAUGGAAAAACAAAAAAGCCAAAAACAUUGAAUAAAAGCUCCAAAGUUCAAUGCAUUAUACAAAUAUUAGUCGUUCAACUCAUUUAAAGGAGUGAAAACAUACCCAAUCUACCAAUGUAAGCAGUCUCCAUUAGCUGUGCUAAGGGAUCAAUGGCAUGACCCAAAAUUGCAGGUAAAGAAAGCAUCAACAGCUCACGUUUGACAUCUGGAGAAUAUGUUUGACUGAUAGGAAGGUUGCUCAACGAUAGACAGGUACUGAAGAAUCAUUUACCCAAAACAAGCAUAAAACAAUGUUUAAGAUAGGUAUCAAAUCUUGUAACCCCCAUCACCUAAAACUAAUUAAGAGUAAUCAUAAGAAUUUCUGCCACUCACUGAAAUAGACAGGACCAAGAAUCUGUUAGCAAUGUUUCUCAUAUCAUCUUCACAAUUUUUAAGAUAGGUAUCAAAUCUUGUAACCCGCAUCAGCUUGCUUGCCCUUGUAAGAUCAAGAAGGACAAAGGAAGGGAGGGACUGGCUUUCACCAACAGUAGAAAAACUCAUCCACAGCUAUCAUGCUCAUAUUACCAUUCACUCUAACAAACCAGAGUUUUUACAAAAUGAUAAAUUUCUAACAAAUUUGAAAAAAUAUGAAUCUCUGUGCAAGGAAAAUGGGGAGUUCAGCAUAGGCAGAUCAGUAUUAAGUAGUUUACGGAAACAUAACAGUCCAUUCCAGCAUUAAGAUGCCUAUCUUAUGUCCAAUUAUGAAGGGAAGAAAAAUAUAUCACAUAUUAGAAGAAAUCAUAUCAAACUAAUGAAAGUAAGAGCAUCAAUUAUUUACAACGAACUAAGUCAAAACUAAAUGGAGAAAUGUUAACAGAGUUGUAUGCUUCAGUAAGUCCAGUAACAGAUUCCCAAAACCACAGACAAAAAAUGUGAACAAUGGCUACAAAAGCAUCCAUAAAGAGCAACUAUAUUCAUAUAUGGAGGUGUACAAAAUAGUUAACCUUCAAAAUCGAAACAGUGUGUGUGCCAUGUAAGGCAAUUAGCCACUGCUUCUAGAUUGUACAAUAUUACACCUCACCAUAAUAUCUAAACCAACUAGCUCUAGCAAAAAGGCAUGAUGACCAUAUGAAGUACCCCCACCAAAGCAUCUACGUCUGCAUGUUCAUAUGAAGGAGUUCCUGACAUAAGUUAUGAGCAAAGUGAAUUCCCAAGUCAUAAGUCCAUAGUGAGGUGAAUUCACGGACAUUAAGACAUUUACCUCAUAAAUAUGCCUCCCCCCUUAAACCCUCAAUUGCAAGCUUCAGUCGGUAAUAUUUGAUCUUCAAAGGGUCAACUUUAUCCACCGAAAUCCCAGCACUAAGAUGCUCGAUGAAUUUGACGGUCAUGAUUCCGCAAGACGUACUGUCAGGCCAAUAAGUUGGGAAAUUAGAACUGCAAUUAUGUAAAAUUUGGAUAAACUACACUAAAUUGACAAAGCUUACCCAUCCCGUUGUUGUGGAACACCUGCAAUGCUGCAAACUGAGAAUGGCGUAAACCUCGACAUCUGCAGCCCCUUUUGCUUAACCUCUUCAACCUCAGAAUCUUCAUAAAAGUGCAUCUCGUACAGCACUCGUGCUAGCGUAUCGCUAAUAGGGUGCAGCAGUGUAACCAGCCUCGAAGAUUUGGUAUACGCAACAUAGGAGUCAUACACAGUUGCAGUAUGUCUGACGAAAUCAAUUUCGAUUGCAACCCAGUGGGACCCUCGAAGAUUAUAUGGAAAAUAGACCUUCCGGACUUUUGUCCAAGCUUGGCCAUACCCGUGCUGCCACGUACCGUGCACAUAGUGAUGUAUAUUCUUGAGCUUGUUAGAUGGAAGGUCAACGGUGUUUGAAGCAGCUGCCUUCUUCGCUCCACGUUUCUUCGUAGUCGGUUUCAACGGCUCUAGAAAUUGCUGCAUAAAUUGAAAUGGAGGCAUAUUAGAAAAUCACAACCGAAAGCAAAUGAACCAGUGAAUGUAACAUGGUAACAUGUUUACCUGCAAGCAAUAAUCUGCCGUUGUCCAGUCAGUUCCAAAUACCAACAGAUGAGAGAGUUGCCUUUUCCGGAUAAGAAAGGUUGCCAUGUCCAGGUGCUGAAAGUUGACAUAUAUACUAUGAGCACAAUUUCAUACAACUCUACAAUUAAAAAAUGUGGGAAAACAAUUGAAUUAUUGUAAUAAAGUAGAGCUUUGUGUAUUCUUACCCUUGAGCUAACCCAUUCCGUGUCAUCGAUAAGUUUGUAGAAAAAAUCUGCGUCCACUGAAAAUGAUUCCAGCUGCACCUCCGCACUACAAAAGGCAAACUUGCAACGAUUACUUUUGUACUCAUCUCAUAAUUCCGACAAAAAUACAUAAGUAUAUUAAAGCAAACUCUACAUUUUGUCAUUAGUCUAUGACUACAUACUAGAAUAGGAUGAAGAUUGGAUUUCAAAGGUAAAGAAUCCUAACCUGAUAUCGUUUUUCCAGGCAGUGCAAAACUCUAUUACUGCCUUCACAUCUUCAAUGGGCACGGGUUUUGUUGGAUCAAAACAUGGCGGGGUUGCAAUUGCGGCCGACACACUCAUCGUCCUCUUCUUCCUCAAAGGAUCAGUAAAUGGGCUCAACAAUGUCUGCGCCGGGCGCUUCUGUCUGCACCCUUUACCUUCCACUUCCUUUUUUUCAACACUCGAACUCCCUUCUUCAUCACCAGCCAUACUAACUGUGGGUAGACUUGGAGGAUUCAUUGGACCUCCCGAUGGCAUACUCUGAGUCUUUUUCCAAUCUUCCAACAAAAACAACACUCUUUGGCAGAUUUCGUCACACCCGGCCACAUCUUCCGGGGUAGGCAGCUUCUCGGAUUGUGCCUGCUCAGCUGCUUCAUGCACUUCUAAGUCAGCAACUGAAGCAGUCAUUGCUGCCUCUUCGACUACCAUGGCUGCGGAAGGUUCGGCUCCAUCAGCGGGGACUUGUGUUUCCAUUACUACCGGUUCUGUAGGCGGACUAACAUACUCAUGUGGAGGCGAGAAGUCAUCGGCUGCUCCUUCAUUCAUAUGAGGACUACCGAGGUCCUCAUGUCCUUCCCCACCUUCAUUCACCCCACGAUUUCGUAUUUUCAGUUGCUCUAUCUCCACCUUAAAAUAAUGCUCCAUUGAAGCCAGGGUGUUGCGGAAAUCCUCCACACACUUUUUAUUUUUUUCGAACUCUCUUUCAACUUUCAAUGACUCCUUCCGUACCAUGUCUUCCAACUGAUGCACUCUGUUGCAAAGCGCUCGAUUUGAUAUGGCAACUUUGGCCAAUUCAUCCUUUGUCCUUUGAAAGUCACGCUUCAAAGUACGUAACUCAGUGGACGCGACUGUACCCUGCAUUCAAUUAUAACGCAAGUGUUACAAUAUUUCCAAAUUAUAUUGCAACAAUACAGCAGCUUUUUUCCUAUUGUAUUAUGACGUAUAUCUUGGAAACAAAAUUAAUGCUUGCCUUAGAAGACGACGGAAGGCUAGCAGUUUCGUCAAUGUCCUCAUCUUUUUCUUCUACAGAGGCAGAAGUGCCAGUUUUUUGUUCAGCGUCAUCGCCCAACAAGUCAACAAGUUCUUCAGUGUCGUCAGCACUGUCACCCCAAGUCCAAUACGGCUGCUGCUUGUCCAUUACAGAUGGCCGGAGAAGCUGCACAUCAACCUGCAAUUUACACGUACAAUAUACAUAUCAGUAAACUAAUUAUAUUAUAUUUUCAUAUCCCUAACAUUAUCAUUAAAAACUAAACUAACCUCACGGUUCUCGAAUACUUGGCUCAUUAGCUCAUAAAAACGCGGCGAACUAUUGCUCCUCCAAUGUAGUAAACGAGGGAUGUACGCAUUAUCUUCGUGCACCACCAAAUGUAGUGCAGCCAACGCUGGAAAUACCUCAUACGCCCAAAUCUGGUUUGAGGAAUAAAAGGUCAGUCAUUGUAAACAAAUGCAAUUUAACUUCAACAUCAAUGGACAUUUGCUCACCUGAAGUGCAUAGGCAAAACCUUUAAGGUGGUACUCUCUUGGUCUACCAGUUUCCGUUGUUGUUGGUUUCUUUCCAGAUUUUUUUGUUUUUGCAGUUUUUGUGGGCACUUUCACUCGCUGGUAAUCUGCACAAAGUGCCCUCAGCAGUGACGCAUUUGUCUUCGCAUAACACACAGCACCCCAUGGAUACUUCCCAAAGUCUUCAAGGUCUUCCGCCAACUUCAAAUAUCGCAUGUCAAUGUGGACAUGUUUUUCACUGCCCAACAGCACAAACACAGCAAAGUAUACGAAUCCGAGCUUCAAUACAUCGUCCACAUCAUCGCAUUCGAGGAAGGCCUUUUCUAAUUCCAACAGGUUCACAGUUUUAUCGUUGGCAAAGUACUUCCGUUUCAAUGAGCAGUUCUCAUUAGUGGGAAUCGGAAUAAAGGGAAGGUUUCCAAACCUUAGCCCUGUCACGAUGCAAAAUUGUUGCGCCGUGAAUUGGAUGACCUUAUUGCCAACAAUGAAUUUGAUCCCAUUCAAUUGGGAAACUGUCUUGGGAUCAGCUUUCCUGAGCAGCAAGCCGUGGACAAUUGGAGAAGUCCACUUGAGGUCCUCAAUCCGUAGGAGAUGGCCAAAACAACUCUGUUCAAACAUUUGCAGCUGCUGUUCAGUGAAUUUCUCCUUUAUCGUAGUGAUUGCGGUCUUCGUAUGGGAUAGCGACAAUGCUUUCCCUUGGAACUUUUGUUCCUCUGCAAUCAUCAACUUCAUUUGACCAACCAUAUUUCCCUGCAUGCCAAUAUUAUAAAUAAAAUUUCAGUCGGUUGCAAUCUAGACAAUAACAAGCAAUAAACAAUCACCACUUAUCAACAGCCUAUUAUAGGAUAUGAAGUGAAAAAAAAACAAAAAAUACAUAUCAUAAACAAAACCCCAGCUAUUUACAACUGACCUCCUAAUUUAAUGGCUCAAAGCCAAGUUUCAGGACACCCAGUACUCUACCACUCCUGCAUAAUAUAAUAUCUAAACACACAUCUCAACACACCAUAUAAUCACACCAUCUAAUCAUGAGACAGCUUCAGCUAGAAUGGGAAUGUGCGGUAGCACAAGCCUAAUUGAGAACAAUUCAAGACUAACGAUACAAAUCUAUCUGACUAGAAAGAGUUUUAAAAAACAACAAGACAUCGGGAAACAAUUGAUUCACUUCAAGGUAUAAUGUAAUGGAACAUCCUAUGAAUUAGUGGCAACCACAAUACUGACUCUACUAUGGCCCUCCUUUCAAAUGAAAGAAAUUGGCACCAUCCCUUCAGUUUUUUCUUAACAAAAUAUCAAAGAUAAAUUCAUAAAUAAACCAUCAAAACUGUAUAAAAUGUUUGUAAGACAUGUACAAUUACAAAAUUAUAAGUUCUCCUCAGAAACAGAGUUCUCUAAGUAUCCAUACACAAACAAGAAAAGCAAAAGCUUAAACAGUUAGCUUAUAGCAAAAUCAAUGUCCCCAUUUCUCUAAACCACACCUGCUGGUGGUAGGUUCCCAUCUUCACUCAUUUCCCGCUUUCUUUUAAGCACACAAUGAUCAAGCACAAAACAGCAAACUUUUAAAGAACUCAUAUUACACCACAUAUGGUUCUAAAGAAAACUCAUCCAUAUCCAAUAUGCAAGCCCUAAACUUAGUAAAAAGAGUUAUAAAAAAAAUAUGUCGAAUUAACAAGCAUUAUUCUCAAACAAAAAGUAUGAUAUGGUUGGGAGUUUACAAGUUCAAAAUGAUAUACACAGGUUAAUUGUCUUACACUUUAGAUAUCAUCUUCAACAAACAAAAUAGAUACCAAUUAGACUUGUAAGAAGGUUAAAUGCAAUGGUCAUAAAGAUUCAUACUAAGCCACCAAAUGCCAAUCAAUAACUGCUACAAAAACCAUAAUAAAACCAUAAUAAAACUAAAAAUACAACAGCACUAAAAUGCCAACACAACAUCACUACAUUAGCAAUACACUAGCAAAAAAACACAAUACGACAGCAAUAGCAACAGCAACACAACAGCAGUGCAAGCAUCAGUCCACAAAGAACAAACCCAUUCACUGUUUGAAACAAGGAAUCAUCAUACUAAGAUCAUUUCAGAGAAACCCCAAAACCAAUUUCGAUGAAACCCCUAAACCAAUUUCAGAGAAACCCCUAAACCUUCAACCAAUUUCGAACAAACCCCUAAACUAAUUUCAGAGAAACCCCUAAACCUUCAACCAAUUUCGAACAAACCCCUCAACCAAUUUCAGAGAAAUGCAUAAACCCUAAACCAACUUCAGAGAAACCCUUAAACUGUAAGAAAAUGCCGAUGAACAGUACCUGUCGCUGGGAGAGGAAGAGAGAAGAGAGAGUCGGAGCUGAGCGACGAGAGAUGAGAGAGUCAGAGCAAAGCCACGGGAGAGUGAAGAGAAACAGAGCAGAGCCAAGAGAGAGAGCCGAGAGAGAACUUCAGCAAAACAGAGAGAAUAAAAUUUCAGCAAAAGUGAUAUGUGUGCAAUAAGGGGGCAAUAAAUAUAUAUUUAUAGGUUAUAGUUCCAAAUUUUUUUAAAAAGGGUGGUAUUUUCAGUUACAAUUAUAAAAAUGGUGGCAUUUAGGGCUAUUUCCCAAUAAAAUAAAGGUUGAAAGUAAAUACCUGAUUUUCCGAAACCACCCAUUCCAAAAAUCUUGUGCGUCCUGAUGCAAAUAUAUCUUUUCUGAACGGUCGUUGGAGGUUCUUAGUUGCAGAUAUAACAGCAAAUCCCUUUGAAAUGGUAAACAUGAUCACUCCAAAUAUGACCCACUGAAAUUGAUAAAACAAAUAUGAAAUCAAUAUUUUUAUCUUCCUUUUGGUCAUAAAUUCUGCUGUCAAACUAAAAAUUAAAGAAAAACUUACCUGACUUUUCUUUCUCUGUUUAGACUUUGGCCGCUUGAUGUAUGUAUGAGGUGAAGAAUUAGAGAGUUCUUCCUUUCUAAUUUUAUAGCCAAAAAGAUCACCAAAGAAUUAGAGACUUCUAAAUAGAUGAUGAAAACUGAUGGGUGUAAAAUAUGUGGCUUUAUGUUUAUAUAGCAGAGGUUGUCUGAAUUUUUUGUUUUUGUUUUUCUAUUUCUUUUGUUUUUGAACUUUUAGAAACUCAAUAGUGAUAAGGUAGUCACGUACUCUCUGCAAACUACCUCUCUCAUGUUCAUAUCCCAAUGGAUGGAUAGACACAAGACUUCUUUUUUACUCGUUAUCUCCGAACUAAUGCACUUGCUGAAACGCAAUGGUAGGCAGCAAUUCAAAUGCUAAACCCAAAGACACGCACCAGUCUCUAGGCUUGGCUUUUACCAAAAAGUUGAGGACACUAGUCAAUCGGCUAUCACUUUUUCAAUCCUGCUCUGUUGGUAAGAUUUGGAAAAAGAUUCUGUAAUGUUCCAAGCACGAGAAAGUUUAUUGAUAACGUGGAAAAAAGCACAAACUUCCAAAUUCCAAUUCAUUUCAAUCCUAAUUUUUCUUAAAAGACUUGUAUGUAUCACAAAUUAAUCACGUCUGCCACGUACAAGGAUUUUAUUCUAUAUGGUGCAACACGAUUAAAUGAAAAUAACAAGAUAGUAUUAUUCUCGUCACAUACAAUUUCUUUUUUUAAUUUCUUAAGCCUCUCUAUUGUAGUAUGAAAAAUCACAACUACAAGACAAGAUAGUGUUUGUCUUCAGAUAAGCACUCAAGGCCAUCCUUGCCUUUAGAGUUCAAGAGGAAUUUUCCAGAGCUUUAAAUUUAAAGUUUUUUUUUUUUGUGUGUGUGUGUGUGUGUGUGUGUGUGUGGGUAAAAGGAGUAUUAUAUUAAAAAGAAUAACACAUCAGUAAAGGGCUACAAACAACAAAGACCAACCAGAGAGGCCAGUCACAAAACAGUAAACCAAACAACAGGAAAAAAAAACUGAAAGAAGAAAGCUUAGAAAGCGUCAAGUUCGGUGGCAAGGUAAACCAUCCCGUGAAAGUAUGAAGACCAGGGCGAUUGGAGGUCGAAUGACCCAAGCCUCAGCGCACAACCCCCUUCUUGCUUGAGGAGCCACCCAGUCAGUUGCAUGGUGGCAUGUCGAGGAGUCCAUGUCCACCAGAGAGAGGAGAAUGGAGCUUUUAGCAUUCUAAUGUCAUAGAGGGUAAAGAGUCCAAUUUGAGACAGAAAUAUCUCCCUGGACAGCAGCAAAACAAACCUUGGAAUCAGUUUCCACAAUAACAUUAGUGAAACCUCUUACAUGGACCAGCUCUAAUCCACUUCGGAUCGCAUGACACUGAGCCUGCACAACUGGUGAUGACUGAAAACAAUGCGCACUGCCAUCAAGCAGACUACCAGUAUGAUCCUUUAUCACUACCCCUGCAGAGCCUGCAUUCGUAACUUUGUCCCACGCAUUGACACAGUUAAUUUUGACAGUCCCCAACAGAGGAUUGACCCACAGAUGACUGUCCAAAGGUGGAGAGUUGAAAUGGUUUCUAUCAUCUUUCAGUCUCAUAUGUGAUAGGAAUUCCACAACACUUCUGUCGGCCAAUGAGGCCGUGAGCUCUGGCGAUGGUGAGCAGAAAUUUGAUCUGUCAUACACCAAAUUAUAACGCGUUUUCCAAAUAGCUGAGCUAGUAAAGGCAAAAUGAGUUAUAAUCCAUCAUUUCUCUCCUCCGAAUUAAAGGUCUCACACAACCAAAGAUCAUUAAUCCACCUAUCUAACGAAGUGAAAGCUUGAGAGGCAGAGGUCUGUAAGCAAUACAAGUGGCAAACCACACUCUGGCAGCCCAAGGGCGAAGGAAGCUUGUAUGCUCAGCGGAUUCAGAUUGUCCAUGGAAAAAAGGCAAAUAAGAGACUGGCAGAGCUUGCGCCUGAAAAGGACCUCAAAAGUGGGAAGGAAACCAUUGACUGCGCACCGUAGAAAAAAAUUUGAUUUUGGGGAGCGUUUGGCAAUUAUGAAUGCGAAGCCAGACUUUAGAAUCAAUCACAUGGGAAGAGCUUGCCUUCAUCACAACCUGAUACUUUUUAUACCCCAUGAGGUAGUAAUAUCCUGAUUUGAUUAUCUCCCAUUCAUAGUGUAUGGCCAAAUAAGUCUGUCAGGGAUAUCAAAAUUGCUGAUAGGAAUUGCCAUGAUUGCUUGGACAUCCAGCUGCGAAAUAAACGCAUUGAUUUUAGAGAGGUCCCAAGUGUGACUAUGUCUAUCCAUCAGAUCAGCAACAACAAUUAGAGCAUGUUGAGGCACAGGGCAAGUAGGCCUAAGGUACCUAGGGUCAUUUUGAGGUAGCCAAAGUAUCAGACCACAUAUUAAUUCAAUUGCCAUGCAUAACUUGCCAUCUUGCUCCUCUAAAAAGAAGCUCGCGCCCCACCGAAAGGCUAUUCCAAAUGUGUUCAGAUCCUUUGUCCAUGUUUUUUUCUGUCCCUCCCUCUCUGUAACACUCCGACCCUUUUGUAAUUAUUUUAUUUACUUAUUUAAUUGUGAAAUUACAUUUUUGUCCUUGAAGUAGGGGCACUUUAGUCACUUUUUUUGAAAAGAAAUUUAGGGAAUUGAGAGGCACCAUUGCGUAGAGCUCAUCGAUACGAGUUUG